CACUCCAUACCUCCAUAGGUGUCUUGAAGUCUAUUCCCGUUGAUGGACAUCUAUUGAUCAAAUAAGCAGCCGUUGUCACGGCUUCACCCCAGAAACUCUUAGGUAACCCAGCUCCUAGAAUCAUACACCUCACACGCUCCAAAAGAGUCCUAUUCAUGCGUUCCGCAAGACCAUUUUGUUGCGGUGUUCUUGGUACGGUUCUAUGCCUCUUGAUUCCUUUCAACCUGCAAAACUCAUUAAACUGCUCUGAAACAAACUCCAGGCCAUUGUCAGUUCUUAAACCUUUUAGUUUAGUUC
rnacentral:lncRNA from 1 species